UGCGGAUUGAUGUAACAGUAACAUAACCGGCUCAUGACCAGUAUAUAAGGGUGCGAUUCCUUUAUCCGCCUUUUA
rnacentral:tRNA from 1 species